rnacentral:rRNA from 1 species
CAGUCGCCACGGUAAUACAGAGGGUGCAAGCGUUAAUCGGAAUUACUGGGCGUAAAGCGCGCGUAGGUGGUUUGUUAAGUUGGAUGUGAAAUCCCCGGGCUCAACCUGGGAACUGCAUCCAAAACUGGCAAGCUAGAGUAUGGUAGAGGGUGGUGGAAUUUCCUGUGUAGCGGUGAAAUGCGUAGAUAUAGGAAGGAACACCAGUGGCUAAGGCGACCACCUGGACUGAUACUGACACUGAGGUGCGAAAGCGUGGGGAGCAAACAGGAUUAGAUACCCGCGUAGUCCCUGUCUCUUAUAC